rnacentral:rRNA from 1 species
CUACGGGUCGCAGCAGUGAGGAAUAUUGCACAAUGGGGGGAACCCUGAUGCGGCAACGCCGCGUGGAGGAUGACGCAUUUCGGUGUGUAAACUCCUUUUAUAUGUCAAGAAAAUGACGGUAGCAUAUGAAUAAGCACCGGCUAACUCCGUGCCAGCAGCCGCGGUAAUACGGAGGGUGCAAGCGUUACUCGGAAUCACUGGGCGUAAAGGACGCGUAGGCGGGUUGGAAAGUCAGGUGUGAAAUCCUACAGCUUAACUGUAGAACUGCACUUGAAACUUCUAAUCUAGAGUAUGGGAGGGGGAGAUGGAAUUAGUGGUGUAGGGGUAAAAUCCGUAGAUAUCACUAGGAAUACCUAAAGCGAAGGCGAUCUCCUGGAACAUUACUGACGCUAAAGCGUGAAAGCGUGGGGAGCAAACAGGAUUAGAUACCCCUGUAGUC